rnacentral:rRNA from 1 species
GAUGAACGCUGGCGGCGUGCUUAACACAUGCAAGUCGAGCGAAGCACUUAGGAAAGAUUCUUCGGAGGAUUUCCUAUUUGACUGAGCGGCGGACGGGUGAGUAACGCGUGGGUAACCUGCCUCAUACAGGGGGAUAACAGUUAGAAAUGACUGCUAAUACCGCAUAAGACCACAGCACCGCAUGGUGCAGGGGUAAAAACUCCGGUGGUAUGAGAUGGACCCGCGUCUGAUUAGUUAGUUGGUGGGGUAACGGCCUACCAAGGCGACGAUCAGUAGCCGACCUGAGAGGGUGACCGGCCACAUUGGGACUGAGACACGGCCCAAACUCCUACGGGAGGCAGCAGUGGGGAAUAUUGCACAAUGGGGGAAACCCUGAUGCAGCGACGCCGCGUGAGCGAAGAAGUAUUUCGGUAUGUAAAGCUCUAUCAGCAGGGAAGAAAAUGACGG